rnacentral:rRNA from 1 species
GACGAACGCUGGCGGCGUGCCUAAUACAUGCAAGUCGAACGCACAGUUUAUACCGUAGCUUGCUACACCAUAGACUGUGAGUUGCGAACGGGUGAGUAACGCGUAGGUAACCUGUCUGGUAGCGGGGGAUAACUAUAGUAAACGAUAGAUAAUAUCGCAUAAUAUUAAUUAUUGCAUGAUAAUUAAUUGAUAGGUGCAAUUGCACCACUACCAUAUGGACCUGUGUUGUAUUAGCUAGUAGGUGAGGGAACGGCUCACCUAGGCGACGAGACAUAGCCGACCUUAGAGGGUGAACGGCCACACUGAGACUGAGACACAGCCCAGACACCUACGGGAGGGAGCAGUAAGGAAUCAUCGGCAAAGGACGAAAGUCUGACCGAGGAACGCCGCGUGAGUGAAGAAGGUUUUCGGAUCGUAAAGCACCGUUGUAAGAGAAGAACGGGUGUGAGAGUUGAAAGUUCACACUGUGACGGUAUCUUACCAGAAAGGGACGGCUAACUACGUG